ACAUGCCUAUAGCAUAGUGUUAAUGCAACAGAUCCCAUUAGAAAUCCACAGUUAAGCGUGCUCAGGAUAGAGUAGUACUAGGAUGAGUGACUGCCUGGGAAGUCCUAGUGUUUUACAUGCC
rnacentral:rRNA from 1 species